rnacentral:SRP_RNA from 3 species
AAGGCAAUGAUGGCUUUCCGAAUCGUGUCAGGUCCGGAAGGAAGCAGCACUAAGGUAGGUUCGUCAUGUGCCUUUUGUU